UGAAAAUCAACAACAAGUCUACUCCUCUCUUUUUCAUGGUGAGGAUUCUGUCUAUGAAACAAUCAGAGACUCUGGAAAUACUCAGAAUGCUGGGUGACCUGUGUGAUGUAGGUCCAGUGGGUCCUUCUUGUGGAAACUCAACGAUUCUUUCUAUCCAAAGUGGGCGAACUAUGAGAAGUGACAGUAGUUUGAUCAUCUCCUUUCCUCAUAACUGAAAAGUUAUUCUCACUCUCAAACAUCAGACCUUUGUCAGGUCCCAUUCACUCAUAUUUGCCACCAUUCACGGACCAUCAAGUUGCAAACUAUGGGCACAAAUAUACAUUAACGUUUUCUAGUAAAGUAUUUAGGUUUAACGUUUAGCUAAACAUCCGA
ensembl:lncRNA